GCCGAAUUAGCUUUAGCGGUAGAGUGCCCGAUUUGUAAUCGGGAAGUCGUCAGUUCGAAUCUGACAUUCGGCU
rnacentral:tRNA from 1 species